rnacentral:rRNA from 1 species
AUUCAACGCUGGCGGCAGGCCUAACACAUGCAAGUCGAACGGUAACAGGAAACAGCUUGCUGUUUCGCUGACGAGUGGCGGACGGGUGAGUAAUGUCUGGGAAACUGCCUGAUGGAGGGGGAUAACUACUGGAAACGGUAGCUAAUACCGCAUAACGUCGCAAGACCAAAGAGGGGGACCUUCGGGCCUCUUGCCAUCGGAUGUGCCCAGAUGGGAUUAGCUAGUAGGUGGGGUAACGGCUCACCUAGGCGACGAUCCCUAGCUGGUCUGAGAGGAUGACCAGCCACACUGGAACUGAGACACGGUCCAGACUCCUACGGGAGGCAGCAGUGGGGAAUAUUGCACAAUGGGCGCAAGCCUGAUGCAGCCAUGCCGCGUGUAUGAAGAAGGCCUUCGGGUUGUAAAGUACUUUCAGCGGGGAGGAAGGGAGUAAAGUUAAUACCUUUACUCAUUGACGUUACCCGCAGAAGAAGCACCGGCUAACUCCGUG